rnacentral:rRNA from 1 species
GACGAACGCUGGCGGCGUGCUUAACACAUGCAAGUCGAACGAAGAGCGAUGGAAGCUUGCUUCUAUCAAUCUUAGUGGCGAACGGGUGAGUAACGCGUAAUCAACCUGCCCUUCAGAGGGGGACAACAGUUGGAAACGACUGCUAAUACCGCAUACGAUCUAAUCUCGGCAUCGAGGAUAGAUGAAGGGUGGCCUCUACAUGUAAGCUAUCACUGAAGGAGGGGAUUGCGUCUGAUUAGCUAGUUGGAGGGGUAACGGCCCACCAAGGGGAUCAUCAGUAGCCGGUCUUGGAGGGUGGACGGCCAAAUUGGGACUGAGACACGGCCCAGGCUCCUACGGGGAGCAGCAGUGGGGAAUCUUCCGCAAUUGACGAAAGUCUGGCGGCGCAACGCCGCGUGGGUGAUGGCGGCCUUCGGGUUGUAAAGCUCUGUUAAUCGGGACGAAAGGCCUUCUUGCGAAUAGUGAGAAGGAUUGACGUUACCGGAAUAGAAAGCCACGGCUAACUACGUG